rnacentral:rRNA from 1 species
GACGAACGCUGGCGGCGGGCUUAACACAUGCAAGUCGAACGGAAAGGCCCUGCUUUUGUGGGGUGCUCGAGUGGCGAACGGGUGAGGAACACGUGAGUAACCUGCCCUUGACUUUGGGAUAACUUCAGGAAACUGGUGCUAAUACCGGAUAGGAGCUCCUGCUGCAUGGUGGGGGUUGGAAAGUUUCGGCGGUUGGGGAUGGACUCGCGGCUUAUCAGCUUGGUGGUGGGGUAGUGGCUUACCAAGGCUUUGACGGGUAGCGGGCCUGAGAGGGUGACCGGCCACAUUGGGAUGGAGAUACGGCCCAGACUACUCCGGGAGGCAGCAGUGGGGAAUAUUGCACAGUGGGCGGAAGCCUGAUGCAGCAACGCCGCGUGCGGGAUGACGGCAUGCGGGUUGUAAACCGCUUUCGUUUGUGACGAAGCGUGAGUGACGGUAAUGGGUAAAGAAGCACCGGCUAACUACGUG